AAUAGGUUUUAAGUGAAUUAGAUGUGUUGUGAUCCAAUCUAAAUUAAUUAAUUAAAGUCUAUUAGAAAAAAUUAUGUUAGCUUUGUGCGCAUGCGCGUUAUGUUCCGUUGCCUCGGCGCCAAAGCCCAAAGGAAGUUUUACAGAAUCCAGUCAGAUGGAAGCAAGACGCCAGAGCCGGAUUUCUGUACAUUCAUUUGCACAGUACUGUACAACAAGUUUCCUUUGCUGAGUUCCUUGGUCAGGGGUUUAAACACAUUUUCUGUCCAGUACUGCAGUUGGAAUUUUCCAUCAACUUUUUAUGGUGGCGCUGCGGGUAGCGCUCUCACCUCACAGCAAGAAGGUCACUAGUUUGAUUCUCGACUGGAUCAGUUGGCAUUUCUCUGUGGAGUCUGCAUGUUCUCCCCGCGUUCGCAUGGGUUUCCUCCGGGUGCUCCGGUUUCCCCCACAAGUCCAAAGACAUGCGCUAUAGGGCAAUUGGACAACCGAUGUCCAUCUCAAAAGAGCGUCUAUUCUUCAAGCUCUCUUUACUUACCUUGGUGAGGAUGAGGCAUGCCUGGUGAAAGAAUACAUGGGCAACCAAAAAGAAGAAUUUUUGAAGGACCUGACAAACACUGCCAUGGCCAUAUGUGUCAUCAAAAGGAAAGAGGAGAUUAUGAGGACAUUGGCAUCGUUGUGGAUGGAAAAGUGAUUCUUGAACAGAUAAAAUCUCUUGCACAAGCCUGUGCACUGAUGUUGGGGGCAAUUUAUGUGCUUGAUUUGGCCUACCCAAAAGAACUCAAAUACUAUUACGAGUUUGCCCAAAAAGUACUUGUGCAAAUGAACUGACCAGCUCUCCUUAAAGGUUCUCAUACUGGAAAACAGUGCGAUGCUGUAAUUUAAAGCAUUGAAGUGUUGAUAAAUGCUCAACAACCAUAUGUAUAUCAUAUACAAAUUGCAGUUUAGAGUAGGAAUUGUUUAAUAAGUGAAUUAAGUUUUCUUUGUGUGCAAAAUUAAUUUGCUGUAGGAACUUGUUUUAAAUUGUGUGUGUGUGUGUGUGUGUGUGUGUGUGUGUGUGCGAGAGCAUGUGCAUUUUAUAAACUUUGUAUUUAUUCCAUUUCAUACAACUUGUAGUUGCUCAAUCUGUUAAUGAGUUAAUUUUUUUUUAAGUUAAUUAGUUGAUUAUUUUGUGUAUUGGGGUGUGUGUGUGUUUCAUAAGAAUUGCUGUUUGCUCCAAGACUUCAUACAGUUUUCUUUUAUGUGUUGGUUUAAAUUAAAUGUGCUGUACAAACUGUUUAUUGUUUUAUGGUGUGCUGCUAA
rnacentral:lncRNA from 1 species